GAUGAACGCUGGCGGCGUGCCUAAUACAUGCAAGUCGAGCGAACGGACGAGAAGCUUGCUUCUCUGAUGUUAGCGGCGGACGGGUGAGUAACACGUGGAUAACCUACCUAUAAGACUGGGAUAACUUCGGGAAACCGGAGCUAAUACCGGAUAAUAUUUUGAACCGCAUGGUUCAAAAGUGAAAGACGGUCUUGCUGUCACUUAUAGAUGGAUCCGCGCUGCAUUAGCUAGUUGGUAAGGUAACGGCUUACCAAGGCAACGAUGCAUAGCCGACCUGAGAGGGUGAUCCGCCACACUGGAACUGAGACACGGUCCAGACUCCUACGGGAGGCAGCAGUAGGGAAUCUUCCGCAAUGGGCGAAAGCCUGACGGAGCAACGCCGCGUGAGUGCUGAAGGUCUUCGGAUCGUAAAACUCUGUUAUUAGGGAAGAACAUAUGUGUAAGUAACUGUGCACAUCUUGACGGUACCUAAUCAGAAAGCCACGGCUAACUACGUG
rnacentral:rRNA from 1 species